AGGAGGAGCUUGCUCUUCUGGAUGAGUUGCGAACGGGUGAGUAACGCGUAGGUAACCUGCCUUGUAGCGGGGGAUAACUAUUGGAAACGAUAGCUAAUACCGCAUAACAAUGGCUGACACAUGUCAGCUAUUUAAAAGGGGCAAUUGCUCCACUACAAGAUGGACCUGCGUUGUAUUAGCUAGUUGGUGAGGUAACGGCUCACCAAGGCAACGAUACAUAGCCGACCUGAGAGGGUGAUCGGCCACACUGGGACUGAGACACGGCCCAAACUCCUACGGGAGGCAGCAGUAGGGAAUCUUCCGCAAUGGACGCAAGUCUGACGGAGCAACGCCGCGUGAGUGAAGAAGGAUUUCGGUUCGUAAAACUCUGUUGUUAGAGAAGAACAGCGCAUAGAGUAACUGUUAUGCGUGUGACGGUAUCUAACCAGAAAGCCACGGCUAACUACGUGCCAGCAGCCGCGGUAAUACGUAGGUGGCAAGCGUUGUCCGGAUUUAUUGGGCGUAAAGCGAGCGCAGGCGGUUCUUUAAGUCUGAUGUGAAAGCCCCCGGCUCAACCGGGGAGGGUCAUUGGAAACUGGAGAACUUGAGUGCAGAAGAGGAGAGUGGAAUUCCAUGUGUAGCGGUGAAAUGCGUAGAUAUAUGGAGGAACACCAGUGGCGAAGGCGACUCUCUGGUCUGUAACUGACGCUGAGGCUCGAAAGCGUGGGUAGCGAACAGGAUUAGAUACCCUGGUAGUCCACGCCGUAAACGAUGAGUGCUAGGUGUUAGGCCCUUUCCGGGGCUUAGUGCCGCAGCUAACGCAUUAAGCACUCCGCCUGGGGAGUACGACCGCA
rnacentral:rRNA from 1 species